UCUCGAUAGGGCAUAGGCACGUGAGUGAUUCUGAGACAUCUGCCUUGCCCUCUCGACCUGUGCUGCAGCUCCUGUUCUGGCAGCAGUAGGCAAAGAGCACUAAGUGUGAGGUGCCAGUGGGCCUCAGUAGCAGUAGUGUGACCUUGUAGCAGCCUCCUCAAUCACCAGGCAACCUCCAGGGAGUUCUGUUCUGCAGCAGGCUGCAGUAGUAUGUGCCAAGUGGGGAUGUAGCAUAAAAAUGGUGGAUGGAUCUCCAAUCAAGUUACAGUUGUCUCAGCUCAUCACAGACCCACGAAGGGUUCUUUUGAAGACCCUGACCUGGAGUUACAUGCCGACUUUGGUUCUUUGCGGGAAUAGGACCCGUUCUCAGUGUUUCAGGACUGGCCAUUGCUGUUUGGCACGCCAAGGGUUCAGCCUGAGAGUCCAGCUCGAAUUCAAAAGCCUAAGAUCUCGGGGCUCUGGAGACGGAUGGAUCGAGGGUCGGUGUCAUGACAGGAGACUCCUGUGUUGUCGGGGAGGCCAGAAAAUCUUUCACUGUGGGCCUGAAGACCCGAGAUUUGUGCGAUCUUCAGGCACAAAGUUCUUAAAAAAGCAGCGAAACGGACUUUUUAACAUCGUAAACCAGUGGGUUGUUGUUAUGUCUCCUGCUUGCUGUGAAAAUGGGGGACACCUCCCUCUCCCUUAUUAAGGAGAGAGAGAACCUGUGGUUUGUAUAAUGCCAGAUGAAAUGCGAUAGUCUUUGGGGUAACUACAAGGUAUGUGUCUUUGUUAUUGCCUAGUUCAUG